GGAAGAAGGAAGUUUAAACAACCCUUCUACUGAUAAGACGAUUUCGGCAGGCAACCAAGUCAUACUUCCUUGCAGGGAAUAACAUUCUAGCAUCAUAUAAAUUUUCGACAUCGCAUAUGACCAAGUCCGCUGGAGUGGGAAACAGUCUAGACGAAAUUCGUUGUAUCAUCAAACCAGCAAACAUCCCAAUCACAGGAAAUGUAAAAACGAUAAAUGCAUUUCAAGGGAUCACCUGAUAUUUACGUCAUGUGAUGUAAAGUUGUUUGCAUGUCGAUGCACCCGAACAAUCACUGUUACACCGUCAAGGAGAAGAAAAUACCCUUAGUGUCUAAAAUUAAGAAAACUACUUUGUAAUACUUCUUUCUUUAUUUUCUCUUUAUCCAAGCAUUUUUAUCAUAUAUUUUUGCCAUACGUUCGUCACCUUUCUACUAUAAUUUUUUGUAUAUCCAGAGCGAACGUUAGU